GACGAACGCUGGCGGGAUGCCUUACACAUGCAAGUCGAACGGAGUGGCGAACGGGUGCGUAAUGUAUCGGAACGUGCCCAGUAGCGGGGGAUAACUACGCGCAAGCGUAGCUAAUACCGCAUACUAUUGGAGCGGCCGAUAUCGGAUUGGCUAGUUGGUGGGGUAACGGCUAACAAAGGCGACGAUCGGUAGCUGGUUUGAGAGGACGACCAGCCACACUGGGACUGAGACCCGGCCCAGACUCCUACGGUAGGCAGCGGUGGGAAAUUUUGGACAAUGGGGGAAACCCUGAUCCAGCCAUCACGCGUGUGCGAUGAAGGCCUUCGGGUUGUAAAGCACUUUUGGCAGGAAAGCGGUACCUGCAGAAUAAGCACCGGCUAACUACGUGCCAGCAGCCGCGGUAAUUC
rnacentral:rRNA from 1 species